UGCGCAGCCACAUCCCCAUAGGUUCUGUACCGGAAACAGAAAUGAUUAGUUCACCUCUGGAGUCUUUGGUUCGAGUCGUUCGUUCAUCACUUCACAGCCCCACUGCAUUCAGAAUAUGGGACAGUCACGUGAUGAACGAAUGCCUCGAGCCUGAAGACUUGAGACGUGAACUGAUCAAAUGUGACGUGACAAAAGAAGAACGACUCGGAUCGGGAAGUGAACUAACAGACUGCUAAUGCUAAGCAAUUAAUCAAUCAUUUCUGUUUCUCAUAAGUUGCAUUAGCCUAUAGUUUAUUUUUUAUUCCAAAUGUGAUCAAUGUUUGCGUAAGUACUAGAGGUGUUGGGGAAUUUAACAUGUAACAUUUUAACUUUAUUCUGCUGAAAUGAACGAAAUGAUGCAAAAAAAGAUUCGUUCAUUUUGCUGAACGAGAUUCAAAGAUCCGAGUCAGUAAAAUGAUCCGAACUUUCUUGUGUUAAUAUUUGUGAUGAUGCUCGCACUUUGAUCUUAAGCAGUUUGUUUAAGUAUGCAGGUCUUUGAACGUAUUUUUUUAAAUAUGUAUAAUAACCUUUCAUUUUCUGAUGCUCCUGCUUCCACUGUAAUGCUCCCUCAUUAGCUUUGCUUACAGUAUCAAUAUGUAUAUGAACCGCUGGCCAUGAAAUUUCUCAAGAGUUUUGGUGAGAAUCUAUUACUCUGGUCCUGAUCUUGCUUGUGUACACUGUUUAUUACAUUUUUGAAUGACUUUUCUUUUCUUCAUAGAAUUACUUUAGGCACUGAUAGAACUGUCUUUUUUGUCAUAUCCAAUAUGAAAAAAUGAUUAAACUUGCAUUUUUUUUGUUCUUUUACCUAAAGUAACCUGUAACUUUAUGGACUUGGCUACAUUGUACAGCAGUGCUGUAGUACUUUGGAAUGGAACCUUAUGACCUUUGACCUGCACUGUGAAAAUUCAAAUGAGUGUUUUUUUUUUUGUUGCAGUGUUUAACAUGUUUCUGUGUCAUGUUUGUUUGAUGUUCUGUAAUGACUGAAGAUCAGCGCAGAAUUCACCAGACUUGUGUCGAUGGACCUGAGCAAGUCCUUUUAUGAGGGUCUUGACAAACACGCCUCAAAGCUGCUGUAUUUGUACCGCUCGAGGCGCCAUGCAGACAUCGCAGAAAGGAGUGCCAUACUGGAGAGCCUGGAUUAAAAUGUGAGUAGGUUUAUUUCAAGUGUACUUGUUUUGUAAAUACUGUGGUCAUUUCCUUUCUUGCUAUUUCUCUUGUCCUGCAUAAUUUGAAUAUAAAACAUUUGUACUUUUGAGGCAUCAAAUCACAGGAAGAGGGUUGCAGUACUGCUGGGGCUGCCACUGUCCAUGCGGGAGAAUCCAUCUCAGUUCUUACAGAUCUGUGAGCACACAGAUUCUGAAGAAGAGUUAAUCAAGGGCGUGACUGUUGGAAUCAGUACAGUUGUGGAUGACAUGAUGGACCCUAUUCCGUGUGACUGUGGUGAUGUAGCCCUUGUAAUGGAAGAAGUUGUCGUUCUACGCAAUCUUGGUGAUGUACCAAAUGCAUUUGUCAACUUGAUGGGAUUGCUUUAUGCACGUAACAUAAUCUACCCCACAAACUUCAAAUACACCUUUGAGGUGAUUCAGAGGCUGUUCAUGAACAUCGGAGCUGAUGCCUGCAGUGCACGAGUACAUUCACUUAAAAAUAAUCUGCUCAAGUAGAGAUGGUGUUAUGCAUUUCUUGCAAGAGAGAUUUCAUGUGGUGUUGUGUUGUGUAUGUUACAGUUUCUAUACCUAAACAGCAUGACUUCAGUUUUGUUGUAUAUUUUCACCUUUAAACACCGGGCAAUUGAAAUGUAAUGUUGUUAGGCAAAAACAGAUUUCUGCUUGCUUUUUCUGUUUAUUUUGAGAAAUUCAUGUAAUUUCAAGACACAUGCAGCUUUUAUGUCAGAGUUUGCUGACUUCCUGUCAGUGUUGAGAAUGAAGUUUGACAGAAUUCUAAUUGUGGGAGAUUUUAACAUCCAUGUGGAUGUGGAGUGACUCUGUGGCGGUUAAGGAAUUCCUGUCGCUACUUGAUUGUUUUAGCUUCACACAGUUUGUAACUGACCCGAUUCAUAACAAGGGCCAUACGCUGGAUCUCGUGAUUGCAAACGGCUCGUUUGUAUCGCAGUUUUCAUCUGUUGACAUUGGACUGUCUGAUCAUUCAGCUGUCUUUUUAAUCUGGAACUGUAUCAUCCAUGUGAGCCUACCGUCUGAACAGUAACCUUCCGGAAGUGGAAGUCUAUUGAUCGGACCGUUUUCUCCAAUUCGGUUGUUUCCACUUUAAGCGAUCUUCAUCCCUCACCGCUGGAGGAGAAAGUCCUGCAGUUAAAUUCUGCUCUUGCUGCUAAUCUUGACUCUUUUGCUCCUCUAAGGUCACGUAAGGUCACAUUCUCCCGCUCUGCUCCCUGGUAUAAUGACAAUCUGCGCUCUAGAAAGGCUGCUUGUCGGAAAAUGGAGCGCAAACGGCACCUUACUGGACCGAAUGUGUACUAUCAAGCGUGGAAGGAUCUUCUGGGUGAUUAUCGAGCACUAACGGAGACUGAAAGAUCCUCUUACUUCUCUCAGACUAUUGUAAAAAAUCAAAAUAAUCCCAGACACUUGUUCCAAACCAUAAACAGAUUGCUUCAAGUUAAUGCUGUUACUACCUUGCCUGUUUCUCAGCAGCUCUGUGAUUCUUUUCUUCAGUUUUUUCAUUCUAAGAGUGAUAAUGUUACUAAUCUGCUUUAUUAAUCCCUUACACCCCAAAUCGCAGACUGCGCUCCUCACAGUGUAAUCUGUUAACUGUUCCACAACUCGCCUAAAAUCUACAGGUGACGGGACUUCUUCUGUCUACGCUCCUUCCCUUUGGAACUCUCUUCCUCCUGAACUCAGGAAAGCUCAGACCUUUGACAUUUUUAAAGCGCUACUUAAGACAUUUUUUUUAAACUUGCAUUUGACUGCUGUCUUUUUAUUUAUUUAUUUAUUUUUAUUAUUAUUAUUUUAUAAUUAUUAUUAUUAAUGUUCGUAUUAACUUGAGAUUUAUUUUUUGUACUGCUUAUUUUGUGUACAGCGCUUUGAGAAGCUGCUUUUAAAGGCGCUUUAUAAAAUAAAGAUUAUUAUUAUUAUUA